rnacentral:lncRNA from 1 species
AUACAAUAUAUCACGAUGAGCAUUUUAAAAACACAUCACGAUGAGCAUGAAUAUUCAACGUUCGUUAUGAAAAUAGUAAAACACUAGUUCCCCGCUCUCGCAAUCCUGGGCAAAGAGAAUCUUGCGGUUCUAGUACAUCUUGAAUAAACUGCUAUUUCACCCAGAAGAGUUUGAGUGUAGACUGAGCCUGCAUGAUAUUUUGAUCUCAGUAUUGUAUAUACAAGUACAGUGUAUUUAUUUGAAGAGAUUGAUGAAAUAUAAAAAUCCAAUGCAUAUAUUGUACACAGCUACGUUCACACGACACCACUGUAUACGAACGUUCUUCAGGUUCCUAUAUGACGAAUAUCAUGUGUAAUAUGCAGAACGAUAUAGUGUAGUUUGUACAAACAUGAAAUAUAUAAACUCCAUAUCUCCAUUGAUUGUAAAAUUCGGGGUGAGAUAAGUUCUCAAGCAAGGUCUCAAGUGCAUUCGUCGGCAACAUUUUGAGAGAUGUAGCCUAUAAGGAGCAGCGACUUCCUUUGAAUUCUUACCAUGCAUAAUGACACUAUUGAUUAGAAGAAAUUUUAGACACAUAGUGAGUUUAAGAUACCCCGGUUUCGGUGUACGGGUACGGGUACGAGUAUAGUGUCAUCUUGUUUACUAGUUUUUACUAAUGUCUGUAAUUCGAUCAUACUUUUCCUGUUUUUUUGCAAUAGACAAUGAUAUAAUGCGAAAAAUGUGCACCUAAAAUAUUGCUAACCAAAAUCAUGCCACUACUCUUUGCGGGCCCAUACUCUGAUCUAUAACCCAAUUCCUAACCAUUCCUUACCCUAAUCCUAUUCCUGAUCGUAAGGCUAUCCACGAUCGUAAGGCUAUCCUCUAUCCACGUUGGA